rnacentral:rRNA from 1 species
GAAUAAUUGACAAUGGGCGAAAGCCUUAUCCAGCCAUUCCGCGAGCGUGAAGGAGGUCCUCGGUUUGUAAAGCACGUUAAGCUGGGAGGAAGGGCAGUAAGCGAAUACCUUGCUGUUUUGACGUUAGCGACAGAAUAAGCACCGGCUAACUCUGUGCCAGCAGCCGCGGUAAUACAGAGGGUGCAAGCGUUAAUCGGAAUUACUGGGCGUAAAGCGCGCGUAGGUGGUUCGUUAAGUUGGAUGUGAAAGCCCCGGGCUCAACCUGGGAACUGCAUCCAAAACUGGCGAGCUAGAGUAGGGCAGAGGGUGGUGGAAUUUCCUGUGUAGCGGUGAAAUGCGUAGAUAUAGGAAGGAACACCAGUGGCGAAGGCGACCACCUGGGCUCAUACUGACACUGAGGUGCGAAAGCGUGGGGAGCAAACAG